rnacentral:sRNA from 1 species
CGGUGAGACGAAACGACGGUGGAC